AUUCCCAGGAGACUCAGUCUCAAGCAAUCCUCCCACCUCAGCCUCCCAAGGUGCGUGGACCACAGGUGUGAUCCACUGAACACAGUGGAGUCUCCAGCUCAAAAAACCACUGGGGAAUGGAACAAUUCUGCUUUUGUUUCUUGGCCAGGACUCUCUUAAUCCUGAAAGUCUUGUGAGAAGACAUGGCAAGAAGCCAAGUCAAGCACACACUACGAUGACGGAGAGAGGAGAAGGGUCUUGAUUUUUUCUUUUUUUUAGACUAAGUUUCUUUCUUUUUGCCCAGGCUGCAGUGCAAUGGUGCGAUCUUGGCUCGCUGCAACCUCCGCCUCCCGGGUUCAAGUGAUUCUCUUGCCUCAGCCUGGCGAGUAGCUAGGUUUGGCCAAAAUAUGAACUAGAAAGGCAGGAACCUGGCCAAAGGUGGGGAGCUUGAAUGUUAUUACCUUAUUCCUGCUUGACCUUUACUGCCAACGCCAACACAAAUGGUCAGAGGUCCCUUAUAUGAAAAUCUUCAUGAUCUUGUGGGAAAACCCUGAUUUUUGUAAAGGCUGCAAAACAGGCUCAAAAAUAAAUAAAUAAAUAAAAUUACAUUUAAAAGAGCCAGUUGCAGUGGCUCACGCCUGUAAUCCCACCACUUUGGGAGGCCGAGGUGGGUGGAUCAGCUGAGGUUAGGAUUUCAAGACCAGACUGACCAACAUGGAGAAACACCCUCUCUACUAAAAAUACAAAAAUUAGCCAGGCUUGGUGGCGGGCACCUGUAAUCCCAGCUACUUAGGAGGCUGAGGCAGAAGAAUUGCUUGAGCCCAGGAGGCAAAGGUUGCAAUGAGCCCAGACCAUACCACUGCACUCCAGCCUGGGUGACAAGAGCAAGACUCCAUCUCAAAACAAAAAAAUAAAAUAAAAUAAAAAAUAAAUAAAAAUACAAAAAUUAGCAUGGUGUGGUGGCAUGCAUCACUAAUCCCAGCUACUCAGGAGGCUGAGGCAGGAGAAUUGCUUGAAUGCAGGAGGUGAAGGUUCCAGUGAGCUGAGAUCAUGUCAUUGCACUAUAGCCUGAGUGACAAGAGCAAGACUCCAUCUCAAAAAAUAAAAAUAAAAAACAGGCUGGGUAAAGUGGCUCAAGUCUGUUGGCCAGGCUGGUCUCAAACUGCUGACCUCAAGUGAUCUACCUGCCUUGGCCUCCCAAAGUACUGGGAAAACAGGCAUGAGCCACUGCACCUGACCCAUUCUUCUUAACAUUAACACUUUUUAUGUCAAUUAAUGCGUGAACUCAAUGUUAAGUCAACUCAAACUCAAGUCAAUGUUGAAUCAACUCUAAUGUCAAUUAAAGUUUUAUGAUUUUUUAUAUUCAUUUUAUUUGGAACAAUUAUCUCAAAAAUGAAUUUUCUGAUGUUCUGCAUGGAAUGACCACAGAGUGAAGACCUUGCCACCCUUACAUUUGUAAGGCAUCUGUCCAGUAUGAAUUCUCUGAUGUCUAAUGAGGUGUGAACAUGAAGUAAAGGCUUUGCCACAAUCAUCACACUUGUGAGGUUUCUCUCCUGUAUGAAUUCUAUGUUUUGCAUAGGAUGAAGCUUGACUGAAGACCUUGUCACAGUCAUGAUAUUUGUAAGGUUUCUCUCCAGUAUGAGUUCACUGAUGAACUACAAGUUAUGAAUGACGUCUGAAAAAUUUGCCACAUUUAUUACACUUGUAGAUCUCUCUUCAAUAUGGAUUCUGUAAUGAUUUGCAAUGGUUGUAGCAUUACUGAAGACUUUGUGACAAUCAUUACAUUUGUAAAGUUUCCCUACACCCAUGGAUUGCUUGAUGGUGAAUAAGUGUUGACUGUCCAGUAAAGGCUUUGCCACACUCAUUACACUUGUAAGGUUUCUCUGCAGUAUGAACUCUCUGAUGUUUUGCAAGGCUUGCUUUUUGAUUAAAAACCUUGCCACAUUCAUUACACUUGUAAGGUU
rnacentral:lncRNA from 1 species